GGUGCCCGUGCACUUUCCUCCUACAGGCAGUGCACAAACUAUAUAUGGAAACCAAACGCUCGCCUUCCUUUUAUACGAGUAAAAGAUUUGGUCCCCCGCCCCAGGACCCGCGCGCACGCCGUUCCCGCGUGCCACCACAGGUAAGAACCAUCAACCUGGCAAUUCUGCCCCAGCGCGUGCAAGCAACACAUACCAGAGAACCCUGGCCGCCAGCUCCAGAACUGCCUUCGAAGAUCGGAAAAAGAGAAGAAAAAAGGGACAAAAAAGAGAGGACAUCAUCGCGAACUCCCCCAUGCUACCUGAAGGUCCUGAAGCCCAUGGAUUCAAGCUGAUCAAAAAAGUUGCCCCCACCCCCCUUCAAGAAACAAGCGCCAUGGAUUUGCAUCAGCUGGAGUUGAUUGACUUGACUGAACUCCCUAUGGAUCUCAAUGACGGCCCUGCCAUUGAUGGAUUUGGAGCAUCUAUUUUUCCUUUGCAUUGUACACAGACUAUGCCUAGCAACGGAGCAAAUGUACAUGAAUCUAAUGCCAGUGAGUCACAAUACCAAGUUGGUGCCGCAGGCAACAAUUUGAUUGCUCAAAAUGGACUUGAUUCAUAUCAUAUAUAACUUUCUUCCCCUUAUUCGGCAAACUAAAAACUCUCUUAACACUUUCUGUGUUCACUACAUCCUGCCCCUGUCUGGUAUCACCAGUUCGGAUAUCUCUGGAUUGUAACACCUCAUAAGAAAUUUGCUGAAAUCGCUGGACAUUGAUUGAGCCUUUAUGCUCAGUAACCCCUUGAA